CAGAAAGAUAAAACGGAAUCCAUUUAUAAAAUUAAAUCUAAGAAAAUAUUUUGUGUGUGCUUACAAGAAAGCAAAAAGAACUAAGGUAUGGACUCAUUAGGCUUCCGUACUAAACACCUGCGAGUCGCAACAGAAAAUCACGCAGGUGUGUGAAGAUGCAAGAAAACUAGUUUCUGAAGGAGACGUAUAGAUACAGUGACGAUUCAGAUGAAGACCCUAACACUGGACUGCACCUGUGCCCAUGCCGAGUCUCAGGCCUCCGAGUGAGUGACUGGCUAGACGAUCCCGGUCCCAAACGGAAUGAGGGCACUGAUUUGCUGAGUUUCUUCAUGUGCUCUGGAUCUGCGGUGGAGAAGGAAGUCUGGAGAUGUGUGCUAGAGGCUUAAAUAAGAAAACAAGAGGGAUUCAUGUGCAAAUCUGUUGCCAGAUUACCAGAAUAAUGUCUUAAAAUGUAACUAAAGCAGCAUAUAAACAUAUGAGACAUAUGAACAUAUGAACAUAUUCAGUUUGAGACUUGCCAUCAUAGUUGUCAUGCAUGUAGUCGUCUGUUUGCUUUAGUUUUUGGUCUUGUCCUUAGGGAAGAGAAUACAAUGACAACACAUGGGGAAAGUAGGACAGAUGCUUUUGUCACCUGAACUCUCCAUGGACCAAAACAAUAAGGUGCUUUACUCUCGAAGAACCAUUGUGAUGAACAUGCCAUAGGCCACAUCACACAGCAAUAGCAGCACUUGGUUAGAUGUUGCCAGAUAAGUGUAUUA
rnacentral:lncRNA from 1 species